rnacentral:rRNA from 1 species
CAGUCGAGCGGUACAGAGAGAAGCUUGCUUCUUUGCUGACGAGCGGCGGACGGGUGAGUAAUACUUGGGAACUUGCCUCUAGGCGGGGGACAACCACUGGAAACGGUGGCUAAUACCGCAUAAUGUCUACGGACCAAAGUGGGGGACCUUCGGGCCUCACACCUAGAGAUGGGCCCAAGUGGGAUUAGCUAGUUGGUGAGGUAAAGGCUCACCGAGGCGACGAUCCCUAGCUGUUCUGAGAGGAUGAUCAGCCACACUGGGACUGAGACACGGCCCACACUCCUACGGGAGGCAGCAGUGGGGAAUAUUGCACAAUGGGCGCAAGCCUGAUGCAGCCAUGCCGCGUGUGUGAAGAAGGCCUUCGGGUUGUAAAGCACUUUCAGUGGUGAGGAAGGUCAGUAAGUUAAUAGCUUGCUGAAUUGACGUUAGCCACAGAAGAAGCACCGGCUAACUCCGUGCCAGCAGCCGCGGUAAUACGGAGGGUGCAAGCGUUAAUCGGAAUUACUGGGCGUAAAGCGUACGUACGCGGUGUGUUACGCAAGAUGUGAAAGCCCCGGGCUCAAUCUGGGAAUUGUAUUUUGAACUGCCACGCUAGAGUCCUGAAGAGGGUGGUAGAAUUUCCAGUGUAGCGGUGA